rnacentral:rRNA from 1 species
GACGAACGCUGGCGGCGUGCUUAACACAUGCAAGUCGAACGGAAAGGCCCUGCUUUUGUGGGGUGCUCGAGUGGCGAACGGGUGAGUAACACGUGAGUAACCUGCCCUUGACUUUGGGAUAACUUCAGGAAACUGGGGCUAAUACCGUAUAGGAGCUCCUGCUGCAUGGUGGGGGUUGGAAAGUUUCGGCGGUUGGGGAUGGACUCGCGGCUUAUCAGCUUGUUGGUGGGGUAGUGGCUUACCAAGGCUUUGACGGGUAGCCGGCCUGAGAGGGUGACCGGCCACAUUGGGACUGAGAGACGGCGCAGACUCCUACGGGAGACAGCAGUGGGGAAUAUUGCACAAUGGGCGGAAGCCGGAUGCAGCAACGCCGCGUGCGGGAUGACGGCCUUCGGGUUGUAAACCGCUUUCGCCUGUGACGAAGCGUGAGUGACGGUAAUGGGUAAAGAAGCACCGGCUAACUACGUG